rnacentral:rRNA from 1 species
GACGAACGCUGGCGGCGUGCUUAACACAUGCCAGUCGAACGGAAAGGCCCUGCUUUUGUGGGGUGCUCGAGUGGCGAACGGGUGAGUAACACGUGAGUAACCUGCCCUCGACUUUGGGAUAACUUCAGGAAACUGGGGCUAAUACCGGAUAGGAGCUCCUGCUGCAUGGUGGGGGUUGGAAAGUUUCGGCGGUUGGGGAUGGACUCGCGGCUUAUCAGCUUGUUGGUGGGGUAGUGGCUUACCAAGGCUUUGACGGGUAGCCGGCCCGAGAGGGUGACCGGCCACAUUGGGACUGAGAUACGGCCCAGACUCCUACGGGAGGCAGCAGUGGGGAAUAUUGCACAAUGGGCGGAAGCCUGAUGCAGCAACGCCGCGUGCGGGAUGACGGCCUUCGGGUUGUAAACCGCUUUCGCCUGUGACGAAGCGUGAGUGACGGUAAUGGGUAAAGAAGCACCGGCUAACUACGUG